GAUGAACGCUAGCUACAGGCUUAACACAUGCAAGUCGAGGGGCAGCAUGAACUUAGCUUGCUAAGUUUGAUGGCGACCGGCGCACGGGUGAGUAACACGUAUCCAACCUGCCGAUGACUCGGGGAUAGCCUUUCGAAAGAAAGAUUAAUACCCGAUGGCAUAGUUCUUCCGCAUGGUAGAACUAUUAAAGAAUUUCGGUCAUCGAUGGGGAUGCGUUCCAUUAGGUUGUUGGCGGGGUAACGGCCCACCAAGCCUUCGAUGGAUAGGGGUUCUGAGAGGAAGGUCCCCCACAUUGGAACUGAGACACGGUCCAAACUCCUACGGGAGGCAGCAGUGAGGAAUAUUGGUCAAUGGACGAGAGUCUGAACCAGCCAAGUAGCGUGAAGGAUGACUGCCCUAUGGGUUGUAAACUUCUUUUAUACGGGAAUAAAGUGAGGCACGUGUGCCUUUUUGUAUGUACCGUAUGAAUAAGGAUCGGCUAACUCCGUGCCAGCAGCCGCGGUAAUACGGAGGAUCCGAGCGUUAUCCGGAUUUAUUGGGUUUAAAGGGAGCGUAGGCGGACGCUUAAGUCAGUUGUGAAAGUUUGCGGUCAACCGUAAAAUUGCAGUUGGUACUGGGUGUCUUGAGUACAGUAGAGGCAGGCGGAAUUCGUGGUGUAGCGGUGAAAUGCUUAGAUAUCACGAAGAACUCCGAUUGCGAAGGCAGCCUGCUGGACUUGUAACUGACGCUGAUGCUCGAAAGUGUGGGUAAUCAAACAGGAUUAGAUACCCUGGGUAGUCCACACAGUAAACGAUGAAUACUCGGCUGUUUGCGAUAUACAGUAAGCGGCCAAGCGAAAGCGUUAAGUAUUCCACCUGGGGAGUACGCCGGCAACGGUGAAACUCAAAGGAAUUGACGGGGGCCCGCACAAGCGGAGGAACAUGUGGUUUAAUUCGAUGAUACGCGAGGAACCUUACCCGGGCUUGAAUUGCAACUGAAUGAUGUGGAGACAUGUCAGCCGCAAGGCAGUUGUGAAGGUGCUGCAUGGUUGUCGUCAGCUCGUGCCGUGAGGUGUCGGCUUAAGUGCCAUAACGAGCGCAACCCUUAUCGAUAGUUACCAUCAGGUUAUGCUGGGGACUCUGUCGAGACUGCCGUCGUAAGAUGUGAGGAAGGUGGGGAUGACGUCAAAUCAGCACGGCCCUUACGUCCGGGGCUACACACGUGUUACAAUGGGGGGUACAGAAGGCAGCUACACGGCGACGUGAUGCUAAUCCCGAAAGCCUCUCUCAGUUCGGAUUGGAGUCUGCAACCUGACUCCAUGAAGCUGGAUUCGCUAGUAAUCGCGCAUCAGCCACGGCGCGGUGAAUACGUUCCCGGGCCUUGUACACACCGCCCGUCAAGCCAUGAAAGCCGGGGGUACCUGAAGUGCGUAACCGCAAGGAGCGCCCUAGGGUAAAACUGGUGAUUGGGGC
rnacentral:rRNA from 1 species